rnacentral:tRNA from 1 species
AAAAAGAUUUAUAAUUGAAGCUGCUAACUUUAAUUAGGGGUGUUUACUCCUCUUUUUU